GCACAGCGCAGGCGCUGGCGCGGAGAGGCGCAGGCCCAGGUCCACUCCCCAGCUGUGAAAGGAAUGAAGAUAUAGAGAAACAAGGAAGAAAUUGACCCCGACGAAGAAGAAAGUGCCAAGAAAAAGCAUUUGGAUAAGAAGAGAAAAUUGAAGGAGAUGUUUGAUGCGGAAUAUGAUGAAGGAGAAAGCACAUAUUUUGAUGAUCUUAAAGGAGAAAUGCAGAAAGAAGCACAGCUGAAUCACGUAGAAUUUGAAGAUCAAGAUGAUGAAGCCAGAGUUCAGUAUGAUGGUUUUCGACCUGGGAUGUACGUCCGCGUUGAGAUUGAAAAUGUUCCCUGUGAAUUUGUGCAGAACUUUGACCCCCAUUACCCCAUUAUCCUGGGUGGCUUGGGCAACAGCGAGGGAAAUGUUGGACACGUGCAGAUGCGUCUGAAGAAACAUCGCUGGUAUAAGAAAAUCCUCAAGUCCCAAGAUCCAAUCAUAUUUUCUGUAGGGUGGAGGAGGUUUCAGACCAUCCUGCUCUAUUAUAUUGAAGACCACAAUGGAAGACAAAGGCUUCUAAAGUAUACCCCACAGCACAUGCAUUGUGGAGCAGCCUUUUGGGCCUGAUUUUCGGAUAGCUGCCACAGGAGUUGUCCUUGAUCUGGAUAAAUCCAUAAAAAUUGUGAAGAAAUUAAAGCUAACUGGUUUUCCAUAUAAAAUUUUCAAGAACACUUCAUUUAUUAAGAUAUUGUCUUCAUGCGAACUUGGUAUCCUGUUUCCAUCCCAGCCUUCUAUAACCCAGUAACAUCUUUGUUGAAACCAGUGGGUGAGAAAGACACCUGGUCAGGAAUGUGGACCACGGGCCACCUCGGGCUCGCCCAUGGUGUCAGACUAAAGACAAACAAGGACUCUCUGUAUAAGGUACUGGUCGUGUGUGUGUUAGUGGAGAUGAAGCCUGUGCCCUACAGACAGGGAGUCACGCAGACACUUUUCUAUAAUUUCUUACGUACUUUGAAUGUUCAAGUAUAAAGUCUAAUGUUAAAUUUGAUUGAACAAUUGUAUAUUUGUGGGAUAUUUUGGAAUGGAACACCAAAAAAUGGUAAUAGUGGUUCUUUCUGGAUUGAAGACAAACUUUUCUUUUUUAAAAUAAAUUUUAUUUUAUAUAUUUGAGGUUGA
rnacentral:lncRNA from 1 species